rnacentral:lncRNA from 1 species
GUAUAAAUGAAAUCAUGUACUGUUUGUCCUUCAGCUGCUGGCUUUUUUCACUAAGCAUAGUGUUUUCAAGGUUCAUCCAUGUUGCAGCACAUAAUGUCCUUUUAAAAGUGCCUCUUCUGGUUCUGUAAUACAUAUUGACCACUUUGUUGUUAUUGUUGUUGUUUUUAGAGAGAGGGUUUUUCCUGUACUGAACAUUGCUCUGUAUUUCUGUCUGUCUGUCUGUCUCUUUCUCUCUCUCUCUCUCUCUUACUUCUCCCCUCUGCCCUAGCCUUGGGUCUUAUUGGCAAUUCCUCUCUCCCUUUGUUCUGAUAACUGGGGUCUCUGAUUCCUUCCAAGUCUUUCUGUGUACAACAUUACACUUCAGUAUAUUUCCCCAUUUCUUCUCAACAAGAAGCUAUCUUGACAAGAACAGCUGUCCAUUUGCAUUGCCAACCAUGAAAAGCUGGGUACCACUACCCAAAUUAAGUCCUGUCUUGAUUCCCACUCCAAGGUCAUUUUUCCACUAAGAUCCAGGUAUUUUUGGCUUUCAAAGUUUGGGUAUUUUUGCUUAUGCAAUUUAUGAGCUGAUGAAUGAGGAUAAUACUUUCCUUUAUAAGAAUAGACCCAGUAUAUAAAUCGUCUGCAAAUGUCUUUUGGUUUUUGUUCCCUUAGCUUCCUCAUCAAUAUGUAAAUAUAUUGUUAAUUCCUUGUUUCUUGUGUGUGGGUUGAUGUUUCUUUUCUUUUAAGCUUCUAUGACUCUCUAGUCAUCUCUGAUAAUGAAAAGUGGCUGCUCUCACCAUAUUUUAAACUCAUGAACUCCCAUGGAUCUUUCUGCUCUAAUGGUAUUGUUCAGAGAAGGUCAGGAUAUGGUUAUGGGAAUAGUCAGCAUAAACCACCAGAGACACACUAUGGAGGCACGAGGCAAAUGGAGCAUAUGUUGAAUGUCAGUUACAUGGUUCUAUUAUGUAUUAGUGAUAUUUUGGUAUGAACAUGACCCUGGCUUUUGUUGUGUGAUCUUCCAGGACUUAGGAAACCAGCAUUUUAUUUUUCUGCUCUUCAGAGUAGUGCUUGCAAGGUAUGGUGCUGGUCUUCACAUCUUCAUGUGAAUGUAAUAUAACUGGAAAGGGACAACUGAUGAGCAAUGGAAUUGAUGAAAAGCACAGAAACAAGGUUUUGUCUAUGUCAAAAGAGCUAGAGAUGCUUUAGUUGGGUGAAAACUUGAAGAGGGUUUUACUAGGCUUCGAAAUAUUAAAUAAUUAUUUAAGUAAUGCAGAUGAUCCCUUUUUGAGCAUCCCUGUGAAAGCUGAAGAAAAAAAUCAUUUUAGGCACAAAAAGACACUUAAAAAAAAAAGAAGACUUGCUUUACUGGGCAUAGGAAUGAGCAUCUUUAGGGAAAUGAAGAGUCUCUUUUUCACUAUGUAUGGACAAACUUCAUGACACAUUGAAAAGGGAUAGUGUGGGCCUGCUCAAAGGCUAGGUGUAUCCUCAGUGCCUCUUUCAGAACUCUUAUGUAAAACAUAUCUUCUUUUUUUUCCAUUUUUAUUAGGUAUUUAGCUCAUUUACAUUUCCAAUGCUAUACCAAAAGUCCCCUAUACCCACCCACCCCCACUCCCCUACCCACCCACUCCCCCUUUUUGGCCCUGGCGUUCCCCUGUACUGGGGCAUAUAAAGUUUGCGUGUCCAAUGGGCCUCUCUUUCCAGUGAUGGCCAACUAGGCCAUCUUUUGAUACAUAUGCAACUAGAGUCAAGAGCUCCGGGGUACUGGUUAGUUCAUAAUGUUGUUCCACCUAUAGGGUUGCAGAUCCCUUUAGCUCCUUGGGUACUUUCUCUAGCUCCUCCAUUGGGAGCCCUGUGAUCCAUCCAUUAGCUGACUGUGAGCAUCCACUUCUGUGUUUGCUAGGCCCCGGCAUAGUCUCACAAGAGACAGCUACAUCUGGGUCCUUUCGAUAAAAUCUUGCUAGUGUAUGCAAUGGUGUCAGCGUUUGGAUGCUGAUUAUGGGGUGGAUCCCUGGAUAUGGCAGUCUCUACAUGGUCCAUCCUUUCAUCUCAGCUCCAAACUUUGUCUCUGUAACUCCUUCCAUGGGUGUUUUGUUCCCAAUUCUAAGGAGGGGCAUAGUGUCCACACUUCAGUCUUCAUUUUUCUUGAGUUUCAUGUGUUUAGGAAAUUGUAUCUUAUAUCUUGGGUAUCCUAGGUUUUGGGCUAAUAUCCACUUAUCAGUGAGUACAUAUUGUGUGAGUUCCUUUGUGAAUGUGUUAACCUCACUCAGGAUGAUGCCCUCCAGGUCCAUCCAUUUGGCUAGGAAUUUCAUAAAUUCAUUCUUUUUAAUAGCUGAGUAGUACUCCAUUGUGUAGAUGUACCAUAUUCACAUUCUCCUCAUAGUGGUUCUUGGGUCUGAGCCUAAGAUAUUGUUCUUGUUAAUUUUAUGUUAACUUGAUACAAGAUAGAAUCAAAUGGGAAGGGGAACCUCAACUGAGAAAAUGCCUGCAAGUGAAUCUGUGGGAAUAUUUUCCUGACUGAACUGACAGAGAAUGGCUUAGCCCACUAUGGUCCUGGGUUCUAUAAGAAAGUGGAGGCAGCCAGCUGUGAGUCUACCCUGACUCCCUUCAUAAUGAACUGCAAGUAUAAGCUAAAAUAAAGCCUUUCUUCCACAAGUUGUUCUUGGUUCUGGUUCUUACCACAGGACUAGAAACCAAGCCAGGACAGAUAUCUUCCUUACCUAUGUUAGUAUUUCUCUCUCUCAAUUUUCUCUUUAUUUGCUCCAUGCUUUAGGGUAUUACAGCUCCCUUGAUAUAAGCCACCUGGCUAAUCAUAUCUCUUUGGUCAGCUUUGGGCCAGUUAGUGCAAACUCAGAGAUAGAGAAUAGAAUUUCUAGUAAGUAACUUUAAUGAAGAAUGCUUGGGAAAAUCAAAGCAGCCAAGGCACUGAGAAUGAAGGGGCUUAAGGCCAUUUGAUAUAACCACUUCUUGGCUUCACAAAUGUAGUCAGAAAUAUGUACUGAAAAGUAUACAUUUCUGGAUUUUAAAGAUUUUGGUUUACAGUCUGGUUCUUCCUUUUAUCAGUGGAGUGACUCGGGGCCACUAAAUUUUGCAGAAACAACACAUUCUUCCUCUAUAAAUUUAGAAUUUAAAUUAUAGUACUUAAUUCCCUGGUAUUCCUUGGAGUUCUAAUUGGAUGGUAAUAUUCUCUGAGAACUAUAAAUUCCUAUGUGGUAAGUGGUUAGUUUUGGUCACUGGAGAGCUAACCUCAUGCUCACUUGUCUUGUACUGGGCUAUUCAGAUUUCUAACUAUCUCAUUCUAUGUAUAAUUCAGUUUCUUUUGAAAGUCUCUCUGUAUGUAAUAUUCCCUUGCCUCAUUCCUUCAGGGUGGUAAUCAUAAAGAAGUGAAGUAGGCAGUAGUGGGCCAUCAGAUAAACUAACCUUUCCAGUCACUUAGAUUUUAAAUGGACUUUUUUUGUUGUUGGAUAAUUGUCCUGAUCUAGCUAAAACGCAUGAGCUAAGAGGACUCUGAAAGAGAAGGUAAUGCUGGUUAUGACUGUAGGCAAAGGUUUGGAUGGAAGCCAUGGAGUAUUUCUGGUGGAUAGACCCUAUUACUCCCAAGGUCCCAUUGGGCAAUGUUUGCAUGAAUGUCUGACUGUGAAAAGCAAUGUCCAGGGAGAAGCCAGGGACUGAAACAAAGCAGGUCUUCCUGUCUUCCUACAGAGACACAGAAACUGAUAGGCAUAGACAUCGACACAGACACACUGACACAGACAGACAGACACACAAACACAGAUAGGCACAGACACAUAGACAGACACACUGACACUGACACAGAUACAAACAGACAAACAGACACAUACCUCCCUUCUCUGAGGAUAGUCAAUUCAUAUAGAUUAGGCUAGGGGCAAGUCAGAAUCUGAACAUUUGUUAGCAAAAUAGUGCUGAUUCUUUAAAUAGCUCAAAGAUGAUUCUGUGUACGUUACUUUCUGUGGACAUUUGUAUCUAUAUAUAUCUGGAGUUUAUCUUUAUGUAGAAGGUAUAUCUUUAGCUUUAGUACAGACAUAAACAAAUACUUAGUCACAUGCCCAAAUGUAAGUCAUGAAACAAAAUGGCGGAAGUCACAUAAGUUACAAUAUUUAUGUCUCGAGGAUGGCUAAACUUAGCUGCAACAUCUAAUUUGCAGUGACGUCUUUCUUUAACAAGUUUUAUAAGAGGGAUGAUUUAAGUCAAGGAGCAGCAGUGACUCAUUCACAUGGUGCCCAGUGGCUGAGCUAAGUUUAGAACACAAGGGAUGCUAGCGUCUUAUGGGGCUUAGGUUUUUACUGUUAAGUCAUUUUGUUCUUCCACACUGUUUUUGUUUUUCGAUAUAUAUAUUUUUUUUAGUCAUUCAAUUUGGUAAAAUAAACUUGCAUUGCAAUCGUAA